UGUAAUGCUGAUAUUUUUAAUGGCAGAUUGAAGUGAUAAUGAAUACUGCUGACAGAGAUGACCUGCAGAGAAAGUUUGGAUGCAAAGGACAACAUACUGGAUUUGUUAUAUAUGUUAAAGAAGCUGCUUCCUGCAGAUCACGGGCAUGAUCACAUGGAUAUUUUGGGAACUGUCAUUGGCUAGUAAAGGGAAACCACUGGCUUGCCCGAUUGCGGUCUCAAGAGAAGCCCGAAACAUCAUUUUGAUUUCCCUGACCAGUUCUUUGAUUUUGGACGAUGGAUUAACCUUGGAUCCAUGUUUUGACGAUGAUAUAAAUAACGAUGUGAACUCACUCUAUGUAGAAAUAAUCGACAAGAAUCGAACGUACUACAAAUCCACGAUUUGUGGCCAGAAGUUUUCGAGGAAACAAAGACUCGAAACCCACUUGAGUUGUGUUUACGGCAAAAGUAGAUGACACAAUUUAUCAGUUAGUGAAUAAUAGAUGAUUUGGCGGCGUUUGUCUGUGAUUUCUUUGAAGAUCAACCUUUGGAACCAUUUAAAAAGGGUUUAGACGGACUCAAUGCUCGUAAAAUAGAUGCAAGCUGAUUUGAA